rnacentral:tRNA from 2 species
GCCGUCGUAGCUCAGUUGGUAGAGCAGCGCCUUCGUAGGGCGCAGGCCGCCGUUCGAUCCCGGCCGACGGCUCCA